CUUUCUCUGUGAUUUCGUUUUCCCUCUCUUUCUUUUCACGCUCAACUCUCUACCUCUCUCCUCAUUCUCUCACUCAUCUCUGCCACUUCCAUUGUCUCGCCAAACCACCGAUCCUCACCACCACCAUCAUGAUCAUCACCACGGUCACAACCACCAUCACCAUCACCAUCACCAUCAUCAGUACGAUUACAGUGGCCAUGCCAAGCUGACUAGGGCACAAGAAGCGUUUCUUCGAUUCGCCGAAACGAUUAGGUGGACCGAUUUAGCAGACUUCUUGCGGGAACACUUGGAGCUAUGCUGCUGUGCCACGGCUCUGUUUAUCGCUGCCGCAGCUUGUUCCUACUUGCUUCCAAAGCCAGCUGUGAAGCCUCUGUAGCAUGUUUUCAUUCUCAUUGCUUUCCCUCUCAUUGGGGUAUGAGUAUUCUCUCCCAAUUUUUCCUAAUUUUGAUUUUGGAUUGAUAAACUGAUAUAAUUUCAUACUCAAUAGGCCUGAGAUGAAGAGCAAAAUUUGAUGGUGCUUACACCACGUCAUGAGGAAGCUGGAAGACUCAAGUUUGUAUGUGUUUCAAAUGAUGGUAUUGAUGAGCAUAUGGUUUGGUUGAUAGGAUUGAAGGAUAUAUUUGCUAGACAACUACCUAACAUGCCUAAGGAGUACAUUGU